CUGUUGAAUGUGUCAGUAACAAUGGACAAGGUGAAAAAAGAGAAAAUCUACUCAUCCGUAAAACCUUCCCUGAAAAACAUGUAACCAGCACAGAAGUUGUAGAGCAUAAAGAGAUGUCAGGCAAUCUGAGUGUAAAACUUCUCGUAUCCAUUGCUGCUGUAUCGAUCCUUGUCAAUAUCAUCUUUAUAAUCUACUUUGUGCUCUUUUGGAACUCAAGAAAAAAGAUGAAACCAAAGGAGGAAGAGCAAACAUACAUGUCCCUGCAGAAAACAGACGGAUUAUCAGAAUAUGAUGUUAUUUGCCAGUCUCUGAAUUAGUAAAUGUCACAGAGUG